ensembl:lncRNA
AGGAAUGUAUGUAUUAUGCAAAAUACGACACACCUGUGUAGUUUCCCAAGGCACCAGCUUCUGUGACUUCUACUGAAAAUAAACAUGGGAAAGAUUUACCACACAUGGGGAUUUUUUAAGCUAAUUGGACACAAAUAAUUUUAAUCUGGGGUAUGAUCCAAGUGAAGCUGUAAGUGAACUCUUAUUUUAAGCCAAAUCUCCCUCAAAGUGGCCCCACCAAUUUUUUUUUUUCUCCCUGCCACUGAAGAGCGUGCUCCUUCUCACCCUGUUAGAUUCUACUAGCACGGAUAUUCUUUAAAAAACAGGUUGUAGGGAACAAAGCCAAAGGGACAGGGGAAGAUAGGGGGAGGCAAGCACCCAGAGCUGAUCCCCAGCUGUGCCUUCUCCAGGCACGAAGCCCAAACUCCCACGGUUUUCUCAGCAAUUUAGCAACUAGGAAAAGCUGGCAAAAAAACGAUACCCUGUGAUCCAAAAGAAUGACUGCCCUGCCAGAAGACAAAGAAACCAACUGAUCCAAAAGAAUACCUGCCCUGCCGGAGCGUUAACCUCAUGGACUGGGUGUUUUCCACAGUUUCAUUUGGAAGCAUUAAAAUAAAAGGUGCACUAAAAUCUACGUCCUGUCCUUUUGUCCACCGUGCUUUCUCUACUGCAUUUGCCCUCAGUGACCCGAUUGCCUCCAUUGUAACUGAAGGUGGGGGUCCAGCUGCUUGCUGCUCAACAGCCAAUAAGGAGGCAAGGCAAUCUUUCUGACCCAGGGUUCGAAGCCACAUCUCCUGCAUUAGCAGGUGGAUUAUUUACUGCUGAGCCACGUGGGAAGCAUACUACUGCCCUUGGCUAGACCUGACAGUAAAGAAUCUGCCUGCAAUGCCAGAGACCUGGGAUCCAUCCCUGGUUCAGGAAGAUCCCUUGGAAAAGGAAAUGGCAACCCACUCCAGGAUUCUUGUGGGAGAAUUUCAUGGACAGAAGAUCCUGGUGGGCUGCAGUCCAUGAGGUUGCAAGGAGAUGGACAACAACUGAGUGACUAACACUGAGCUACCUGGAAAGUUGAGUUCUGGAGAGUCCAGAGGAGUACUUAGCCUAGGGCAGUUAUUUCGCACUAGCGAGGCAAGCACUCUUUACAGUGCUCUGUGAAUUGUGAGAUUUUCAGUCUUGCUGGUGGGAAUAGGCACUCUCCCAGCCCUGUAUGGGCACAAGGCAGGGUUUUCUCUAAUCCUUGGGUCAAUUCUUUCACCAUCCUCAGGUAGUUUCAUCCCAGGCCUGUGCUGAUAAGUACUCUGCUAAAUUCUCCAGGGCCCCUCUACAGAUCUCCAGGGUUCUUUUCCUGUGCAGCCAUUUCCUCUUCAGCUCUCUGUCUUGCUGUUCUAGCUGCCUGCCUGUAUCUCCCCACAUUCCUCUCUGUCUCCUCAACUGCGGGUUUGGGUGGGCUCUGCCUGGGUGCCCUUCUCCCUAUACUACAGACUGAAAACACUCUCAAAGCCCAAAUACAUGGCAGUUGUAGGGCUCAGUCGUUCCCAUCACUGAGGGAUCACUGUCUAUUGCCUGAUAUGUAAUGCCUUGAAAACCAUUAUUAUUGUCCAGUGUUUUUAGUUGUCUCAGGCAGAGAUUCAACAUGAUCGUUUUCUACUCCAUCUUGGUAAGAAGUUAUGUCAGCCUAUCUUUUUGCUCAUUUAGGGGCUUUGUGUUGGGGACAAAGAUUCAGGACCCCAAAACUGAAUGUUAUGAUUUGAACUAGGAAACCUGAUGAGUCUGAAGUUUUCUCAACCUUCGGGACCUAUGUGCACUUGCUGGGAAUAAGAAAUGGAUGGUUUCUGGCAGAAUUGGGGUGUACAAAGAAAGUGUCUAGAGAGUCUGUCCUGGUAAUACUGGCCUACCCAGUGAUCCCAGUUCCAUUCUGUAGCACUCAGGGAUAAAGCUAUAUAGAGGGCACUCCAUGGACUUGCUCUUAUAGUAACAAAUAGGACCUACCAGGGGGUGGUCCCAAGAUGGAGGAGGAAUAGGACCGGGAGACCACUUUCUCCCUAACAAAUUCACCAAAAGAUCAUUUAAAUGCUGAGAAACUUCCACAAAACAAUUUCUGAACGCUGGCGGAGGACACCAGGCCAGAAAGGCAGCCCAUUCUCUUCGAAAGGAGGUAGGACAAAAUAUGAGAGACAAAAGAGAGACAGAGACCCACCCUGGGGUGGGAGUCGUAAAGGAAGAAAAGGUUCCAAACAGUAGGAAACCCUCUCACAGGCAGGUCUGUGGGGAGUUUUGG